rnacentral:tRNA from 1 species
GGUAAGUUGGCUCAGUGGUAGAGUGCUUGCCUCACAUGCAUGAGGCUCUGGGUUCGAUUCCUCAGCACCA